UACGUAGGUGACCAGCGUUGUCCGGAUUUACUGGGCGUAAAGAGCGCGCAGGCGGUCGUUCAAGUCGAGUGUGAAAGCCCCCGGCUCAACUGGGGAGGGUCAUUCGAUACUGAUCGACUUGAAGGCAGGAGAGGGAAGUGGAAUUCCCGGGUGUAGUGGUGAAAUGCGUAGAUAUCGGGAGGAACACCAGGUGGCGAAGGCGACUUCCUGGCCUGUUCUUGACGCUGAGGCGCGAAAGCUAGGGGAGCAAACGGG
rnacentral:rRNA from 1 species